GGCGGACGGGUGAGUAACGCGUAAAGAACUUGCCCUUUAGACUGGGAUAACAGAGGGAAACUUCUGAUAAUACUGGAUAAGUUAGUAUNUCGCAUGAUAUGCAAAUGAAAGCUACGGCACUAAAGGAGAGCUUUGCGUCCUAUUAGCUAGUUGGUAAGGUAAGAGCUUACCAAGGCGAUGAUAGGUAGCCGGCCUGAGAGGGUGGACGGCCACAAGGGGACUGAGAUACGGCCCUUACUCCUACGGGAGGCAGCAGUA
rnacentral:rRNA from 1 species